GUUUGUUUGGAGUUAUAAAGAAUUUGACCUGCCCCCUGAUUAAUUAUUAAAGGGCCGCAGUAUUAUAACUGUGCAAAGGUAGCAUAAUCAUUAGGUUUUUAAUUGAAAUCUCGUAUGAAUGGUUGGACAAAAGAAAGACUCUCUUUAUAUUAAGUUUUGAAUUUAACUUUUAAGUGAAAAGGCUUAAAUAUUCUAAAGGGACGAUAAGACCCUAUAAAACUUUACAUUGUUAUUAGUUUUGAUUGAAUUUAUGAAAUAAGAAUUUUAUUUGAUUAUUUGUUAUGUUGGGGAGACACAAGUAAAAUAUUUUUUUAACUGCUUGACAAUUAUACAAUUAUUAGUGAGUAAGUAGAAGAUCCUUUUUAAGAUUAGUAGAUUAAGUUACUUUAGGGAUAACAGUGUAAUUUCUUUUGAGAGUUCUUAUCGAAAAAGAAGGUUGCAACCUCGAUGUUGAAUUAAAAUAUCUAUAUAAUGGAGAGGUUAUAUAAGAAGGUCUGUUCGACCUUGAAAUUUUUACAUGAUUUGAGUUCAAACCGGUGUGAG
rnacentral:rRNA from 1 species